CAUCACACACACUAUAUAAAUAUACCCGGAGAUGCCCAGAUACAUUCAUGCACAGCGCACACAGGAUACUUGCUCCUGGGAGAUAAGAGCGAGCCGGGAACAAUGCCGGGGUCCACGCCCGGCGCCCGCGCCCUGAUUCCCGCAGUCUGCACCCCCACCCCCAACACCUUCCCCCAAAGUCCAAAACCAAACGUCUUUGGCCUCCUUCCUUUUCCCGGGCCGUUGGCCGAAGGUGGCCCUCCUGACUCAUUCACUUUCCGUUUCUUCCCACAGAUACGUUCAUUAAUGCUUUUUCCAGCCGGAGUCAAACUUAUUGGGGGUUGGGGGGGGCAGUUUACUCGGGCUGGGGAUAACCUGGAGCCUACUGCCCGGGGAGAUCCGGACGCAGACCGAAGCAAACCAACCAUUUAAAAAAGUGCAUCCAAUGGGAAUUUUUCCACUCGGGCCCUCGGCCGCCGAGACGCGGCAGACUCAGAGCGGUUCACCGGUCGACGCGGACUCCGGGCGGUUUCGGAAGGACCGUCGGGGGCGCGGACUAGGCUCCCAGCGCAUUGUUAGCAGAAGGGCGCCCUCGGGGCAGCGCGCCUCGGCCCUUCGCUCCCGGAGAGCUCCCGGCGCCCGCCGAAGGCGGGAGCGGCGGCACCCAAGGCCACCUACCCGCGCCUUCUAGGGUCAAACCCCUCGCACUUUACCUGGACCCGAUGGCCCAAGUCCCGGCGCUCGGCCAGAGCCGCCUAUGCAGUGCUACUCCGAGCCCCGGAGAAACCUACACUACCGCGGACAUUCCUUCUACGCUGGUCAGCAGGUCUCCAGAGCGCAGCAAGCAAGAUCGCCGCACAGACUCAGACUUCCCCCUCGGGUUACCUUGUCCACGCUCUCCAGACCACGCUUUGGACUUUUUCACUUUUAUUUAAGAGUCCACCCGGGGAAGGAGGAAAAAAAAAAAAAAAUCCAGAGGAGAUCCGAGUCAAUUGGAAAGAAAAAAAAUUCAAAAGGGUGUCCACAGCGGCGAAAAAGGUGACUUAUUAAUUCUUUAUUUCUUCUGGACCAAGUGAGCCAGAAAGCUAGCUUGCCUUCCUCCCUCCCUCCCCCCACCCCCUCUCGAAAUUAGUCUCAUCAAUUCAGCUCCAAUUUUGGGUUCGAAUACAGACGCGGGUCUGAACGUGACCAGACCUGGAGUGGCGGGUGCAGCCUGCCAGCAAUUGAGACUCGGUGUGCUUAUGGGGGAGUGGGGUGGGGGAGGGGUGGGGGUGGGUUGGGGGCCGGGCCGACCCCCCCACCCCACCUCCUGUCUGCUUCUCAAUCCAGGGGUCUGCUCCGGGGCUCCCCAGAGACCGCCACAUCUGGUUACCGCUAGCGGGGUCAGUUCCCCCCCUUUGCCUGGGGCCACCAGUUCUGGAGUUCAAUUAAAAGAAAUCAGACUUAA